UACAGAGGUCUCAAGCGUUGUUCGGAUUCAUUGGGCGUAAAGGGUGCGUAGGUGGCGCCGUAAGUCAGGUGUGAAAUUUCGGGGCUUAACUCCGAAACUGCAUUUGAUACUGCGGUGCUUGAGGACUGGAGAGGAGACUGGAAUUUACGGUGUAGCAGUGAAGUGCGUAGAGAUCGUAAGGAAGACCAGUGGCGAAGGCGGGUCUCUGGACAGUUCCUGACACUGAGGCGCGAAGGCGUGGGGAGCGAACGGG
rnacentral:rRNA from 1 species